CCUACGGGAGACAGCAGUGAGGAAUAUUGGUCAAUGGACGAGAGUCUGAACCAGCCAAGUAGCGUGAAGGAUGACUGCCCUAUGGGUUGUAAACUUCUUUUAUAUGGGAAUAAAACGUUCCACGUGUGGGAUUUUGUAUGUACCAUAUGAAUAAGGAUCGGCUAACUCCGUGCCAGCAGCCGCGGUAAUACGGAGGAUCCGAGCGUUAUCCGGAUUUAUUGGGUUUAAAGGGAGCGUAGGUGGAUUGUUAAGUCAGUUGUGAAAGUUUGCGGCUCAACCGUAAAAUUGCAGUUGAAACUGGCAGUCUUGAGUACAGUAGAGGUGGGCGGAAUUCGUGGUGUAGCGGUGAAAUGCUUAGAUAUCACGAAGAACUCCGAUUGCGAAGGCAGUUCACUGGACUGCAACUGACACUGAGGCUCGAAAGUGUUGGUAUCAAACAGGAUUAGAUACCCCUGUAGUC
rnacentral:rRNA from 1 species